GGAAGGAUCAUUAAAACAAUCCAUUGUUAACCCAUCUGUGAACUUGUUUGACAGUAAUGUCAGAGUGGAAGAGAGUGAUGUGGCGUAAAAAGAUUGUGAGCAAUCGCAGUCUUUUCGGCUCUUUUUCCGUCUUCAUGCGCAAGCGUGGGGGAACUCUGAUGUUGCUUCGCCAUGUUUUAUACUUAACCCCAUUUACUUUUUUGUACUAACCUUUUUUUUAUUUUCCGCUUAAAACCCGGAACUUAAAUCAAAAAAUAUAAUAACAUUGAACAACUUUUAACAACGGAUAUCUAGGCUCUCAUCUCGAUGAAGAACGCAGCGAAAUGCGAUACGUAAUGCGAAUUGCAGAAUUCAGUGAAUCAUCAAAUUUUUGAACGCAUCUUGCGCCUUCGGGUGACCGAGGGCAUGCCUCUUUGAGUAUCGUUUCAAACCCACUCGGCUGCGACCUUUUCUUCGGAAAUAGUCGCUGAGUCCGGAUAAUGAGAGUCUCGAGGGCCUUUAAAAAAGCCUUUGCGUCUCUUUAAGUGCGAUAACACAUCUAGUUGUUACUCGACCAGGGAGCAUUUAUCUGGUUGAUGCUUGAUACUUGACUUCGGUCAUUCUCUGCAUCUGACUUGGAAUGUCUCAUGAAACUGUUUAGAGUUGACACCGUGUUUGAAAGGAAGAAAUCUUAACUGAUAAUUCGAUCUCAAAUGAAGCAAGACUACCCGCCGAAUUUAAGCAUAUAAUUAAGCGGAGGAAAAGAAACUAACAAGGAUUCCCCUAGUAACGGCGAGUGAACCGGGAAAAGCUCAAAGUUUAAAUCGACGUUCCUAACGGGGCGGCGAGAUGUAAGCUCGAGACGGAAGCCCAGCGACGACCCGGGUAUAAAUUCCUUGGAACAGAAUGGCAGAGAGGGUGAGAUCCCCGUCUUUGACCUGGAGAUCGUUGCGUACGGGAACCGGUCAGAGAGUCGUGUACCUUGGGAAUGGUGCACUAAAUGGGUGGUAAAUUCCAUCUAAAGCUAAAUAUCGAUGAGAGACCGAUAGCGAACAAGUACCGUGAGGGAAAGGUGAAAAGAACUUUGAAAAGAGAGUUAAAAAGUACUUGAAAUUGUUAGGAGGUAAGCACUGAGAACCAGUAGUGCUGAGCACAUAUUUUCCUUUCGUAAGUGAUUACUUUUCUUGCGGUACCUCUAAAGGCCGCAGGUUGAGUAAGAAGCGUACGGUGGGCUCCUGUGUGCUUAGUGAGUCAGGAUCGAGUAGAUCUGCGUGAGAAGGCCCUCGUAAGGUGCUCUCAGUGAUGAGAGUCAAGGACUGGGGUUAUAGCGCGGAUUUGCUCGAGGUAUGGCCAAUUCCCGCCGCAAGGCAGCGUAACUGUCUCUGCAAGUGUUCUUGGGACAUAAGGGGAAAACUCCUUAUGCUCGGGGCAUGAGUACUAGAUGGGUAUCGACUUGGGAAUUAGCGAUCCUGACGAAAUGGUUUUCAUUGACCCGUCUUGAAACACGGACCAAGGAGUCUAGCAUAUAUGCGAGUAUUUGGGUGACAAACCCUGGUGCGUAAUGAAAGUGAAAGGUAGGAACCGCGUAAAAACGGCGCACUAUCGACCGAUCUUUUGCUUGCAGAAGAUUUGAGUAGGAGCAUAUCUGCUGGGACCCGAAAGAUGGUGAACUAUGCCUGAUCAGGGUGAAGCCAGGGGAAACUCUGGUGGAGGCUCGUAGCGAUACUGACGUGCAAAUCGUUCGUCUGAAUUGGGUAUAGGGGCGAAAGACUAAUCGAACCAUCUAGUUGCUGGUUCACGC
rnacentral:misc_RNA from 1 species